CUAAGUUUGAUGGCGACCGGCGCACGGGUGAGUAACACGUAUCCAACCUGCCGAUGACUCGGGGAUAGCCUUUCGAAAGAAAGAUUAAUACCCGAUGGCAUAGUUCUUCCGCAUGGUAGAACUAUUAAAGAAUUUCGGUCAUCGAUGGGGAUGCGUUCCAUUAGGUUGUUGGCGGGGUAACGGCCCACCAAGCCUUCGAUGGAUAGGGGUUCUGAGAGGAAGGUCCCCCACAUUGGAACUGAGACACGGUCCAAACUCCUACGGGAGGCAGCAU
rnacentral:rRNA from 1 species